rnacentral:tRNA from 1 species
CCCAAAUUAGGGGGAAAAAAAGCUGUGUCAGAAGUGGGAUUUGAACCCACGCCUCCAUGCGGAGACCAGAAAUCCCAUGGGGAAGGCUCAGCCUUGAGUCUGGCGCCUUAGACCACUCGGCCAUCCUGACACCCAGCAGCCUUCCUCCCCCUCCUCAUCCUCACUCAUUAACUUUGGGGGGGUGGGCUUCAGGGGGACCCAAUUCUCCAUCCUUUGGGCCCAAAUCCCUGUGGAAAUUCCAACGAGGAGGGCUGACAUCACAAC